rnacentral:lncRNA from 1 species
GUUUGAGCGCUUCCUUGGCCUUCUUGGCUUGAGACUUAGUGUCACUUUAAAUUUUCGGGAAUUUCAAAAUUUGUGUGAGAAGAGACCAUGGAGAACAGAUGAAGCGCCUCAAAGACUCAUUAGACCAAAACAGAAGGUUGCGGAUUCAGAACUAGCUUGUGAGCAGGCUCAUCAGUAUCUUGUUACCAAAGCAAAAAACAGAUGGUCAGACUUGUCUAAGGAGCUUGACAGUUUCAACUUU